rnacentral:rRNA from 1 species
UCUCCCCUACGGGAGGCAGCAGUGAGGAAUAUUGGUCAAUGGCCGAGAGGCUGAACCAGCCAAGUCGCGUGAGGGAAGACGGCCCUAUGGGUUGUAAACCUCUUUUGUCGGAGAACAAAACCCGGGACGAGUCCCGGACUGCGUGUAUCCGAAGAAAAAGCAUCGGCUAACUCCGUGCCAGCAGCCGCGGUAAUACGGAGGAUGCGAGCGUUAUCCGGAUUUAUUGGGUUUAAAGGGUGCGUAGGCGGUCCGUUAAGUCAGCGGUAAAAUUGCGGGGCUCAACCCCGUCGAGCCGUUGAAACUGG